AUCUACAACCAUACCACCUUCAACGUACCCAAUCUCAUCUGAUCUUGGAAGCUAAGCGGGGUUGGGCCUGGUUAGUACUUGGAUGGGAGAACACCCAGGAAUAUCAGGUGCUGUAGGCU
rnacentral:rRNA from 1 species